AGUGAACGCUGGCGGUAGGCCUAACACAUGCAAGUCGAACGGCAGCACAGUAAGAGCUUGCUCUUACGGGUGGCGAGUGGCGGACGGGUGAGGAAUACAUCGGAAUCUACUUUUUCGUGGGGGAUAACGUAGGGAAACUUACGCUAAUACCGCAUACGACCUACGGGUGAAAGCAGGGGAUCUUCGGACCUUGCGCGAUUGAAUGAGCCGAUGUCGGAUUAGCUAGUUGGCGGGGUAAAGGCCCACCAAGGCGACGAUCCGUAGCUGGUCUGAGAGGAUGAGCAGCAGCACGGGAACUGAGCAACGGUCGAGCCUACUACGGGAGGAACCAUGGGGGAAUAUUGGACAAGGGGCGCGAGCUGGACCCAGCCAUCCCGGGGGGGUGAAAAGGGCUUUCGGUUGGUAGGCCCCUUUUGUGGGAAAAAAAAAGCAGCAGUUUAAUACCCCGCUGUUAUGACGGUACCCAAAAAAUAAGCCCCGGCUAACUUGGUG
rnacentral:rRNA from 1 species